GAUGAACGCUGGCGGCGUGCCUAAUACAUGCAAGUCGAGCGAACAGACGAUGAUCUUGCUCCUCUCACGUUAGCGGCGGACGGGUGAGUCACACGUGUAUCACCUACCUAUAAGACUGGGAUAACUUCGGGACACCGGAUCUAAUCCCGUAUAAUAUAUUGAACCGCAUGGUUCAAUAGUGAAAGACGGUUUUGCUGUCUCUUCUAGAUGGAUCCGCGCCGCAUUAGCUAGUUGUUAAGGUACCGGCUUACCAAGGCGACGAUGCGUAGCCGACCUGAGAGGGUGAUCGGCCGCACUGGAACUGAGACACGGACAAGACUCCUGCGGGAGGCAGCAGUAGGGAAUGUUCCGCAAUGGGCGAAAGCAUGACGGAGCAACGCCGCGUGAGUGAUGAAGGUCUUCGGAUCGUAAAGCUCUGUUAUUAGGGAAGAACAAAUGUGUAAGUAACUAUGCACGUCUUGACGGUACCUAAUAAGAAAGCCACGGCUAACUACGUG
rnacentral:rRNA from 1 species